UGCUCUCUCUCACUCUCCAUCGAUGCUCUUGACGCGGUUUUCCUGGCGAGUUCCUUUGUUUCAACAUUGAAUUUUAAAACUGAGCGGAUACUACAGCUUCCCAAGCUCCUC